CACUCUAGCGAGACUGCCGGUAAUAAACCGGAGGAAGGUGGGGAUGACGUCAAAUCAUCAUGCCCCUUAUGACCUGGGCUACACACGUGCUACAAUGGUUGGUACAACGAGUUGCGAGUCGGUGACGGCGAGCUAAUCUCUUAAAGCCAAUCUCAGUUCGGAUUGUAGGCUGCAACUCGCCUACAUGAAGUCGGAAUUGCUAGUAAUCGCGGAUCAGCACGCCGCGGUGAAUACGUUCCCGGGCCUU
rnacentral:rRNA from 1 species